UGCGAUUGGCGGCACCUCUGAG
rnacentral:misc_RNA from 1 species